UUAGGAUGAACGCUAGCUACAGGCUUAACACAUGCAAGUCGAGGGGCAGCAUUGGAGUAGCAAUACUCAGAUGGCGACCGGCGCACGGGUGAGUAACACGUAUCCAACCUGCCGCUUACUCGGGGAUAGCCUUUCGAAAGAAAGAUUAAUACCCGAUGGUAUAAAGAGUUCGCAUGUUCUCUUUAUUAAAGAAUUUCGGUAAGCGAUGGGGAUGCGUUCCAUUAGAUAGUUGGCGGGGUAACGGCCCACCAAGUCUACGAUGGAUAGGGGUUCUGAGAGGAAGGUCCCCCACAUUGGAACUGAGACACGGUCCAAACUCCUACGGGAGGCAGCAGUGAGGAAUAUUGGUCAAUGGACGAGAGUCUGAACCAGCCAAGUAGCGUGAAGGAUGACUGCCCUAUGGGUUGUAAACUUCUUUUAUAAGGGAAUAAAGUGAGGGACGUGUCCCUUUUUGUAUGUACCUUAUGAAUAAGGAUCGGCUAACUCCGUGCCAGCCGCAGC
rnacentral:rRNA from 1 species